GCCAUCUAUAUUAUCCUCCCAGGUACUCCCAUGUAGUCAUCGCUUUUUAGUUGCAAGGCAUGGGUAAAACAAUUUGUUUAUUCCUUCACCCGGUGAAAGGCACUGUGUUCUUUCCUUCUGAGAGUAUGAUGAAUAAUGCUCUCAGAGUACUUAUAAUUUUUUGCAGACAUACACAUUCAUUUCUCAAGGGGAAUUGGUUAUGUGGGGGUGUGUUGAUUAAUUCAAAAACAAAAUGAAAUUUUGUAAGUGCAUCUUAUCUGCUGUUUAAUUUCAGUAUGGUCGGACAACAUCCUCUGAAGUUUUUCAAUCCUUUGAAUUUGUUCAGAUGUGUUGGUGUCCAUGUAAACAUGCCUCACACACACUUAAAAAUAAAGUCUGUUCUGCAGUGGCCGAGGACGAUGUUCAUAAACGUAAUUGGAUCAAAGUUGAGGUGUGGAUAAUGGAGAGGCCCAUCCUGCAUGUACUUUGGAAUGUCAUAGACCAUUAUGGCCAUAAGGAAAGUGCUCAGACAAAACCUAAGACAAUUCAACUUAAGCCCAAGAUGUCUGAGUGGUUAUAAACUUCCAAAAGAUUGCCAAAGGAGUAGAAAAAAAUUUCAGCAUUCUUAAUUUGAAACCCUUUUAUUUGAUGAGCCAAAGAAAGAAUGAUCUUACAUUAUUCUG